rnacentral:misc_RNA from 1 species
AGCUUCAACAAUGUCAAGCAAUGGCUGAAUGAAAUUGACAGAUAUGCAAAUGAGAGUGUGUGCAAGCUUCUCGUGGGAAACAAAUGCGAUUUGGUAGAAAACAAGGUCGUGGACACACAGAUGGGAAAGGCUCUGGCAGAUGAACUAGGUAUCCCUUUCCUUGAGACAAGUGCAAAAGACUCCAUCAACGUGGAGCAGGCUUUCUUAACGAUGGCUGGAGAGAUAAAGAAAAAAAUGGGUAACCAACCAGCUGGAGCAAAGAGGACAGGUAGCACUGUUCAAAUCAAGGGACAACCAAUUGAGCAGAAGGGCAACUGUUGUGGUUAACUGCUGAUGUUGCGUUGCUGUAUCCCUCUGUUCCAAUUGCAAAAUGUCGAACAGAUUGUAACUAAAACAUAUGUUUACUAGAGCUAGAAUGUCUCAACUCCUGUGUAUCUUCCCGUUAGUGGAAAUACAUUUGCAACUGUGCUUCAGGUGCAUGUAACAAUUACUGUUU